rnacentral:lncRNA from 1 species
AGGGCACCAGAAGCCAUGGAGCCACAUGAAGCCGUGAGCCCCUGCUCCCAGCACCCUGCCCAGGCUCCCAGCGCAGCAUCGCACCAUGGGCUGAGCACAGAGCUUGUCAAGAACGGAGCUGCAUGAUGUGCUGCUUUCCCCUCGUGCCAGAUCCGCCGUCUGCGGGUUGAUGACGUGUUACGCUGAAAAACGGCAAGUGAAACCUCGCUGGCUGCAACCCCGACGGAGAGCUGCGCCCGCCCCGGCCCAUUCCCCGUGGGACCUGCGCACCCAGCCCGAGCCAGACGCAAUUUUUCAGACUGAAGGUUUGAGCACCGUUACGUGGAGCACAAAUACAACAAAUGGAGCCUUCCCUGUGUUUUGCAAGAGCACCGUGUGGCGACAGAGCAGCACUCCCGGCUGCUCCCCAGCUCCCUGCCGUGCCGCAGGGCUGCUCCCGGAGCCGCCGCGGGUCCCGGUGCUUUC